ensembl:lncRNA
GGCGGGUAUUGCAUCGACGGUGGCCAAAGACGGAUGCCAAGUUGAAGGAAGCUUAGGCUCCAUUGGCCAGGACAGCCUGAAAUGAAUCAUUAACCCACGGACCGGUGAAUGUGUACCUCCGCUGUUUAUGUCAUUUCUCGAAAGAUUAAGAUAACGUGAAAGAAGGCAUCAGAAAGUAUUACUGAUUCAAAGGUUAUCUAUAAUUUAUCCGUUUGAAAUGGCUUCAUAGUGUCUGUUUUGUUUCGUCCCGCAGCCGCCGAGCAGGAGUGAUGUAACAUCUGAUGGAAAAGUACCGAUUAGGAACCGCGUUGAGAGUUCUUUGACAUGACUUGCUCGUUAAUGUAACCCCAUUGUAGCCAGUAUCAACCAAAUUAGCAUAAGAGAGAUUUGAUCUUCGCUGGGGUUGGAUUGUGAAACAAACCACUGACAAGUCAGUAAACCAAAACAACACGCAAAGUGAACCCCCCCCGCUUUAUGGGUUCAACGAGAAAGGAAGUGUUCACGGUCACAAACAUGCAUGGAGGACAGCGGAUUCUGUGUCCAAUUACCACCAUUAAGACUCAAGGCGCCGAACCUACGCGCAGAGUCGCUAGAAUGCAAUGAGACAAGGCGCCCCAUCCGACAUCGUGCUCGGCUACCUCGAUCUGUGCUGGCUUGGAUUUUGGGGGAUCAUACAUGACGUGCCAUCCCAGAGUUCGGUGGUUGAAGUACGGCAUCCAUAAUAUGGUAUUUCUGGGCCCG